rnacentral:rRNA from 1 species
ACUUGUUUUCAACUUCUCCCUGCCUGGUACAUGAAUUGAAUAUGGAAAGAUAAUGAUGAGGAACUUUCGGGUUCAGUCUUUCUGUAUCACUUGACUUCGGUCAGACAAUUGUAGUACUAGUGUCAGGCCCAACCUUUCUACUAACAACUUCUCUCAUCCUGAGGAAGUUAGUGGGAUACUAAACACCUAUUUCACCCCUUUUUUGCUAGUUGACUUUUAUAUGUUGUUUUCUUCGUACUUUAUUGUAUGAUUAAAUCACACGUUUAUUAUUUGAACGUUAAAAUUACAACUCUUAGCAAUGGAUAUCUUGGUUCUCGCAACGAUGAAGAACGCAGCGAAAUGCGAUACGUAAUGCGAAUUGCAGAAUUCAGUGAAUCAUCAAAUCUUUGAACGCAAAUUGCGCUCUUGGGUAGCCCUAGGAGCACGCCUCUCUCAGUAUCGGUUCAACAACCUCUCAGCAGCGUAUGCAAAUACGUGUUGGCUGGAUAAUGAGAGUCUAGUUUCACGACUAGUCUCUUGAAAUACAUUGAGUGAGCAUCACAUUUUACACUUCAACUUCGGUUGAGGCCAGUCUCUGGCUGGUUGUGUUAUGAGUGACGUGAAUAAUGAGCAUCUGCUCAAAUUUACGUGUAACUUGUACCAAUCAUUAAGGUCUAGGAAUGGUGUGUGGAAUAGAUGUCUCAUGUUACGCGGCUUUGGCUGCAAUCGGCUAGAAUCUAAUUUUAGUCUGAAUUUUGAUCUGAGAUGAAGCGAGACAACCCCCUGAAUUUAAGCAUAUUAAUAAGGGGAGGAAAAGAAACUAACGAGGAUUCCCCCAGUAACGGCGAGUGAAGC